rnacentral:rRNA from 1 species
GACGAACGCUGGCGGCGUGCCUAAUACAUGCAAGUUGAGCGAUGAAGCUUGGUGCUUGCACCCAUUUGAAGAGCAGCGAACGGGUGAGUAACGCGUGGGGAAUCUGCCUUUGAGCGGGGGACAACAUUUGGAAACGAAUGCUAAUACCGCAUAACAACUUUAAACAUAAGUUUUAAGUUUGAAAGAUGCAAUUGCAUCACUCAAAGAUGAUCCCGCGUUGUAUUAGCUAGUUGGUGAGGUAAAGGCUCACCAAGGCGAUGAUACAUAGCCGACCUGAGAGGGUGAUCGGCCACAUUGGGACUGAGACACGGCCCAAACUCCUACGGGAGGCAGCAGUAGGGAAUCUUCGGCAAUGGACAAAAGUCUGGCCGAGCAACGCCGCGGGAGUGAAGAAGGGUUUCGGAUCGUAAAACUCUGUUGGUAGAGAAGAACGUUGGUGAGAGUGGAAAGCUCAUCAAGUGACGGUAACUACCCAGAAAGGGACGGCUAACUACGUG